rnacentral:rRNA from 1 species
UACGGAGGGUGCGAGCGUUGUUCGGAUUCAUUGGGCGUAAAGGGUGCGUAGGCGGCGCGGUAAGUCGGGUGUGAAAUCUCGGAGCUUAACUCCGAAACUGCAUUCGAUACUGCCGUGCUUGAGGACUGGAGAGGAGACUGGAAUUCAUGGUGUAGCAGUGAAAUGCGUAGAGAUCAUGAGGAAGACCAGUGGCGAAGGCGGGUCUCUGGACAGUUCCUGACGCUGAGGCACGAAGGCCAGGGGAGCAAACGGG